UACGGAGGAUCCAAGCGUUAUCCGGAUUUAUUGGGUUUAAAGGGUGCGUAGGCGGAAUGAUAAGUCAGUGGUGAAAGCCUGCAGCUUAACUGCAGAACUGCCAUUGAUACUGUCAAUCUUGAGUACAUUUGAUGUGGGCGGAAUGUGUCAUGUAGCGGUGAAAUGCUUAGAUAUGACACAGAACACCGAUUGCGAAGGCAGCUCACAAAACUGUAAACUGACGCUGAGGCACGAAAGCGUGGGUAUCAAACAGG
rnacentral:rRNA from 1 species